CGGACGGGUGAGUAAUGUCUGGGAAACUGCCCGAUGGAGGGGGAUAACUACUGGAAACGGUAGCUAAUACCGCAUAACGUCGCAAGACCAAAGAGGGGGACCUUGGGCCUCUUGCCAUCGGAUGUGCCCAGAUGGGAUUAGCUAGUAGGUGAGGUAACGGCUUACCUAGGCGACGAUCCCUAGCUGGUCUGAGAGGAUGAUCAGCCACACUGGGACUGAGACACGGCCCAG
rnacentral:rRNA from 1 species